ACGGAGGGUGCGAGCGUUGUCCGGAAUCAUUGGGCGUAAAGGGCGCGUAGGCGGUGCGGUAAGUCACCUGUGAAACCUCUAGGCUCAACCUAGAGCCUGCAGGCGAAACUGCCGGGCUUGAGUAUGGGAGAGGUGAGUGGGAUUCCUGGUGUAGCGGUGAAAUGCGUAGAUAUCAGGAGGAACACCUGUGGCGAAAGCGGCUCACUGGACCAUAACUGACGCUGAUGCGCGAAAGCGUGGGUAGCGAACAGGA
rnacentral:rRNA from 1 species